rnacentral:ribozyme from 12 species
UCAUACAUACAAAAUUAUAUGCAAAUUAGAGACUAAAGAAAAGAUAAAAACAUUCUAAAUCCCCUAUUUUUAUUUAUUUUGUUUAUUAUUCACAACUCUAUCAUUUUUUCCUUUUUCACU